CCCCGGGAGGGGAGUGAAAGAGAACCUGAAACCCUGUGUCUACAAGCUGUGGAAGUACUUCUCAGGUACGACCGCGUACUUUUUGUAGAACGGUCCGGCGAGCUGCGGGUACUGGCAAGGUUAAGCACUUCAGGUGCGGAGCCGCAGGGAAACCAAGUCUUAAGAGGGCGUUUUAGUCAGUACGUGCAGGCCCGAAACCGGGUGACCUAUCCAUGUCCAGGUUGAAGCCGCCGUAAAAGGCGAUGGAGGACCGAACCCACAUCCGUUGAAAAGGGUGGGGAUGAGGUGUGGAUAGCGGAGAAAUUCCAAUCGAACCCGGAGAUAGCUGGUUCUCCUCGAAAUAGCUUUAGGGCUAGCCUCAUACAAGUCUUGCGGAGGUAGAGCACUGAAUUUCCUAGGGGGCGUCAAAGCUUACCGAAGAAUAUCAAACUCCGAAUGCCGUGUAGAUGUUGUAUGGGAGUCAGACUGUACGAGAUAAGUUGGACAGUCAAAAGGGAAAGAGCCCAGACCUGCAGCUAAGGCCCCAAAAUGUGUGUUAAGUGGAAAAGGAUGUGGGAUUUCAAAGACAACUAGGAUGUUGGCUUAGAAGCAGCCAUACAUUCAAAGAGUGCGUAAUAGCUCACUAGUCGAGAGGUCCUGCGCCGAAAAUGUCCGGGGCUGAAACACACUACCGAAGCUCAGGAAUUAACCUAGUUAAUUGGUAGAGGAGCAUUCUUAAAGGGAAGAAGCAGUACCGGAAGGAGCUGUGGACUUUUAAGAAGAGAGAAUGCCGGAAUGAGUAGCGAGAGGAAGGUGAGAAUCCUUCCGGCCGAAUAUCUAAGGUUUCCAGAGUAAAGCUGAUCUGCUCUGGGUAAGUCGGGGCCUAAGGCCAGGUCGAAAGACGUAACCGAUGGACAACAGGUUGAAAUUCCUGUACCUUAAGUAAACAGAACUGUGGGGACACGUGUGGAGAGCACAAGCCGGAAAUGGAAAAGCCGGUGCAAGCGAGGUAGGAGAUGAAUAGGCAAAUCCGUUCAUCAAUCCGAAGACGUGAUGCGGACCGAAUUAAGAGUAGGGAAGUGUGUGAGCCAUGCGUCAAGAAAAGCCGCUAUUGUUUUACUUAAGCCCGUACCGUAAACCGACACAGGUGGAUGAGGAGAGAAUCCUAAGGCCGACGGGAGAAGCAUUGUUAAGGAACUCGGCAAAAUGACUCCGUAACUUCGGGAGAAGGAGUGCCAGUGAGAGCUGGCCGCAGAGAAUUGGCCCAAGCAACUGUUUAGCAAAAACACAGGUCUAUGCAAAACCGUAAGGUGAAGUAUAUGGGCUGACGCCUGCCCGGUGCUGGAAGGUUAAGAGGAGAGGUUAGCGGUAACGCGAAGCUUUGAAUUUAAGCCCCAGUAAACGGCGGCCGUAACUAUAACGGUCCUAAGGUAGCGAAAUUCCUUGUC
rnacentral:rRNA from 1 species